rnacentral:lncRNA from 1 species
GAUUAUGCUAAACGACACCGGGCCAAUAUACUUCAUCUGCACCUCCGCUGACCAUUGCCGCUUUGGUCAAAAACUUACCGUCAACGUAGUUGAUGAUGCUAGUGGUGCUGGUGGACAUAGCGGUGGCGGCGGUGCUACCCCUCCAGCACCUGGCGGUGCUACCACUCCCACACCUGGAGGUGCUACCACUCCAACAUCUGGAGGUGCUACCACUCCAGCAUCCGGCGGUGCUACUACUCCAGCACCUAGCGGUGCAACUGCCCCAGGUUCUGAAGGAGCCUCUCCCACCACCCCAGGAGCCGGGACUACUGCACCUACCGGC